rnacentral:lncRNA from 14 species
CGGUCCCGGAAGGGCGCCCAUGGAGCGGGGUCUGCCGGGCGAACGCCAGAGUAUGGCGCCUCUGUUGGAGUACGAGAGGCAGCAGGUGCUGGAACUGCUCGACAGCGACGGGCUGGUGGUGUGCGCCCGCGGGCUCGGCGCCGACCGGUUACUCUACCUUUUCCUGCGGCUUCACUGCCACCCUGCCUGCCUGGUGCUGGUGCUCAACACGCAGCCUGCCGAGGAGGCAUCCUCGUGUACAGAGCACACAGGAUCAUUGAGUCUUGCCAGGAAGCCUUCAUUCUGCGCCUCUUCCGCCAGAAAAACAAACUCGGCUUCAUCAAAGCUUUCACCGACAACGCUGUUGCCUUUGACACUGGCUUUUGUCACGUGGAAAGAGUGAUGAGGAACCUUUUCAUGAAGAAGCUCUACCUGUGGCCAAGGUUCCAUGUAGCAGUCAACUCAUUCUUGGAACAACACAAGCCUGAAGUCGUAGAGAUUCGCGUGUCCAUGACUCUGGCCAUGCUUGCCAUCCAGACAGCCAUACUGGACGUCUUAAACGCGUGUCUGAAGGAACUUAAGUACCACAACCUGUCGCUAGAAGUAGAAGACUUGUCGUUAGAAAAUGCUCUGGGGAAGCCAUUCGACAAGACAAUCUGCCAUUACUUGGACCCUUUGUGGCAUCAGCUUGGAGCCAAGACUAAAUCCUUGGUGCAGGAUUUGAAGAUACUAAGAACGUUACUGCAGUAUCUCUCUCAGUACGACUGUGUUACUUUUCUAAAUCUUCUGGAAUCUCUGAGAGCAACAGAGAAGGUGUUUGGUCAGAAUUCAGGUUGGCUUUUCCUGGAUGCUAGCACCUCCAUGUUCGUGAAUGCUCGUGCCCGAGUUUACCGUGUCCCAGAUGUCAAACUGAGCAAAAAGACCAAAACAUCGGAGAAGAUGGCAGGUCCAGAAGAGCAAGGCCAGGUGCUGAUCUGUGCGAGCGAUGACCGCACAUGCUGCCAGCUCAGAGACUACCUGACUGCUGGCGCAGAAGCCUUCCUACUGCGGCUCUACAGGAAAACCUUCGAGAAGGACGGCAAAGCUGAAGAAGUAUGGGUAAAUUUUAGAAAGGGAGAUGGCCCAAAGAGAACUAUGAAAUCUGACAAAAGACCCAAAGAUGCCCAAAACAAAGAGCGUGCUUCCACCAAAAGGGGUGCUCUCAAAAGGAAGAAGAAGCGAGAGCUGACUCUGACGCAAGUGUUGGGGACUGCUGAGGAGCCGCCAGAGGAAGGGGCUGUGGAGGAAGACCUACACAAACAGACCGGAAGUAGCCCAGAAGUCUGCGGGGGAGAGAUUCAGCAUGAAUCAUUUGAUUUAAACGUGUCAUCUGAUGCAGCCUAUGGCAUACUGAAAGAGCCCCUGACCAUCAUCCAUCCGCUUCUGGGAUGCAGCGACCCCUAUGCCCUGACACGAGUACUGCACGAGGUGGAGCCUAGAUACGUGGUUCUGUAUGAUGCAGAGCUCACUUUUGUUCGGCAGCUGGAGAUCUACAGGGCCAGCAGGCCUGGGAAACCUCUGAGGCAAGUCUGUGCCUGGUAGUUCUUCGGGCUUUAAUGCAAAAGCUGUUUGGCCUGCAUGGUGGUUUUCUUACCUUUAACCCAAGAUGAUGCUGGUUUGAGGCUGCUUUCUGGUGAGUAAGAGAAGCUCAGAUGGAUGCCAGCCACCUAGGCUAAACUGCAAGCCUCCAGCGCCCCUGGCGUUUUCCCUUCCUACUCACAUUCUCUCUUUAUGUAUGAGUGUGUCCUUUCAGGUACAGUAUCUGGAAAGUCUAGGACAUUGAUAAUGUUCUGUGCAAUACCAAAGUAAUAUGCUAAUGACUUAGCCAAAUGUUAUUAAUCUUCUGAAACACCCUAUAAACUCUUAAACAUUUGUCCUUAUGGUUGUGUGCACACCAUCCCAGCUUACAGGACUUGUUAAUGCCUUCCACCUUUCUGGGGGCUGCAGGGGCCACCCACACUCAUAUUAGACAGAGAGCACCUCUACCUACUGAGCCAUCCCACCAUCUCACGGCUCACAAACUUACGAAGUGACUUGAGUCUUUCUCAUAAAACUAACAUGUUUCAGUGGUAGAGCGCUUACCUAGGAAGCGCAAGGCCCUGGGUUCGGUCCCCAGCUCCGAAAAAAAGAACCAAAAAAAAAAACUAACAUGUUUUAGGAAUUACUAUACCAAGUUUCUUGGGUUUCUAGAAAUACCUUUAAAAAUCUACCGAUCUAUCAGAUGAGAAAGAAUACAGUGUUCUCGCUCUCCAGCUAACUAAAGGGAAAUAAAUAUCAAAAUUAAUCUCCUGAACUCAGUCUGAACCAGAAACACAGCCAAGAGAAACCUUUGGAACAGGGUAAGUAAGGCAGCCUUUCACAGCAGAGGCAAUAGAGGCAGCACAAAAGGUGCCCAGGGGUAGAGACCCUGCGAGAGCAUUGUCUAAUAGCUACAGCCUGCUAGCCUCCAGCUCCCACCUAGCUUAUGUGCACCUGGCUUCCUGCCCAAGAACAGGGCACUGCCUGUCAAGGGCAGAAGAGAUCUGGAAAUUCAGCCGCUCACGCUCAAUGGGAAGCUCAGACUCAGAAAUGGAAGUUGUUGGCCUCAGUCACAUAUCAUCCAUGAAGCAGCUGGAAUCGCCUAACUCAGCCAGUGACCUUUCCCCUCUCUAACGUCAGAGUAAGACGUCUGGGGAGAUGUGUGCUGCAAGUAAAGCAGGCUUAAGAGGAGACACCUCUAAUGGGAAUGGGGUGGUGGGAACACUCGAUUCAGCCUCAGCCGCAAACAAGAAAGAAGCGAGUUCUUAAUUGAUUUUUUAAAAGACAUUUAUUUUUAAUGGUGUGUGUGUGUGUGUGUUCCAGUUGUCAAAGAUGGCAGAGGAGGGAGUAAAAGCUGGAGUUACAGGCAGCGCUAAGCUACCCAGUGUGAGUGAUGGAAGCUGAACUCUGGUCCUCAGGAAGCACUCCUACCCAACAAGCCCUCUCUUCAGCCCCACAGCAAAGCCCUUUAUAGACCCCAAACAGGAAAAAGACACAAAUUAAGGUUCCCAAUGUUAUCCAUGUGUGAAACAUCCCUGGCCCCCUUCUGCUGUGACAUAGAUGAGGGGACUGAGAAAGCACAGGGGGAAAGGUCUGAGCUGUUAAUUCAUUCGCUUGUCAUUGACAUUGCAUUUCCCUAAGCUGGCUUUAAUGAUGAUCUCCCACUUCUAAGCUAUCAUCUGGCAGAAGUUCAAAGAAAAGGUUUUUUUAAAAAGCUUUUUUGUUUAUAGUUAUGAAGAAUUCUUAUCCUCUAGUUCUAGCUCAGUGUUUACCUGAACUGUGUUCUUCCUUUUGCUGAAAAGAAAAAAAACUUCCCUGGGUGACAGCCCUACUGAGCAGGCAGGUGGGAGCCUGCAUGCUGGGUGGGGUGGGGGAGGUCUUACUUCUCAAUGUCUUGAGCCUCCAGCGCUGCUGCUCUAGAUGCUCCCCUGUGCUGUACCUUGUAGGGACUAAGAAUAAAAGAGUCUUAUCCCGCAGGGUUUACUUUUUUGUAUAUGGAGGCUCCACAGAAGAGCAGCGCUACCUGACUGCUCUGUGCAAAGAAAAGGAAGCGUUCGAAAAGCUCAUAAGGUGAGGCAUGUGGCCCUCAGGAACCAUGCUGUGCCUGUCCUUCUGAGUCCUACUCUGGUGGGAAUAUUAAAAGGUCACACUCCAGUCAGAGAUCUGCUUGGAAGGACUCAUUAUUAGGUUGCUACAGCAAAAGGACACAGCUAAGCACCACCAGGAAAGUCACAGAGUUCAGGAGCCAAACNNNNNNNNNNNNNNNNNNNNNNNNNNNNNNNNNNNNNNNNNNNNNNNNNNNNNNNAAAAAAAAAAAAAGAAUACAGUGUUCUCGCUCUCCAGCUAACUAAAGGGAAAUAAAUAUCAAAAUUAAUCUCCUGAACUCAGUCUGAACCAGAAACACAGCCAAGAGAAACCUUUGGAACAGGGUAAGUAAGGCAGCCUUUCACAGCAGAGGCAAUAGAGGCAGCACAGAAGGUGCCCAGGGGUAGAGACCCUGCGAGAGCAUUGUCUAAUAGCUACAGCCUGCUAGCCUCCAGCUCCCACCUAGCUUAUGUGCACCUGGCUUCCUGCCCAAGAACAGGGCACUGCCUGUCAAGGGCAGAAGAGAUCUGGAAAUUCAGCCGCUCACGCUCAAUGGGAAGCUCAGACUCAGAAAUGGAAGUUGUUGGCCUCAGUCACAUAUCAUCCAUGAAGCAGCUGGAAUCGCCUAACUCAGCCAGUGACCUUUCCCCUCUCUAACGUCAGAGUAAGACGUCUGGGGAGAUGUGUGCUGCAAGUAAAGCAGGCUUAAGAGGAGACACCUCUAAUGGGAAUGGGGUGGUGGGAACACUCGAUUCAGCCUCAGCCGCAAACAAGAAAGAAGCGAGUUCUUAAUUGAUUUUUUAAAAGACAUUUAUUUUUAAUGGUGUGUGUGUGUGUGUGUUCCAGUUGUCAAAGAUGGCAGAGGAGGGAGUAAAAGCUGGAGUUACAGGCAGCGCUAAGCUACCCAGUGUGAGUGAUGGAAGCUGAACUCUGGUCCUCAGGAAGCACUCCUACCCAACAAGCCCUCUCUUCAGCCCCACAGCAAAGCCCUUUAUAGACCCCAAACAGGAAAAAGACACAAAUUAAGGUUCCCAAUGUUAUCCAUGUGUGAAACAUCCCUGGCCCCCUUCUGCUGUGACAUAGAUGAGGGGACUGAGAAAGCACAGGGGGAGAGGUCUGAGCUGUUAAUUCAUUCGCUUGUCAUUGACAUUGCAUUUCCCUAAGCUGGCUUUAAUGAUGAUCUCCCACUUCUAAGCUAUCAUCUGGCAGAAGUUCAAAGAAAAGGUUUUUUUAAAAAGCUUUUUUGUUUAUAGUUAUGAAGAAUUCUUAUCCUCUAGUUCUAGCUCAGUGUUUACCUGAACUGUGUUCUUCCUUUUGCUGAAAAGAAAAAAAACUUCCCUGGGUGACAGCCCUACUGAGCAGGCAGGUGGGAGCCUGCAUGCUGGGUGGGGUGGGGGAGGUCUUACUCCUCAAUGUCUUGAGUCUCCAGCGCUGCUGCUCUAGAUGCUCCCCUGUGCUGUACCUUGUAGGGACUAAGAAUAAAAGAGUUCUGUCUUAUCCCGCAGGGUUUACUUUUUUGUAUAUGGAGGCUCCACAGAAGAGCAGCGCUACCUGACUGCUCUGCGCAAAGAAAAGGAAGCGUUUGAAAAGCUCAUAAGGUGAGGCAUGUGGCCCUCAGGAACCAUGCUGUGCCUGUCCUUCUGAGUCCUACUCUGGUGGGAAUAUUAAAAGGUCACACUCCAGUCAGAGAUCUGCUUGGAAGGACCCAUUAUUAGGUUGCCACAGCAAAAGGACACAGCUAAGCACCACCAGGAAAGUCACAGAGUUCAGGAGCCAAACCGGGGUAAAGUCUUCUGAACCAUGGAGGUGCACUCAAGUCUAUCUGCAGCCACAGGCCACGGCACGUGCAGUCAUGGCAGCAGAGACACUCGUUCAGCCUUGGUGUCCACAGCCUUCAUUGAAGCUUGGCCUAUAGGCUCAGCACCCCUGUGAGCGACUCGGUCUCUAACUGCAGCAUGCCAGAUCAAAAGCAGGCACUCAGCAGCAACCACAGGGAACAUAUUCUGACCAAACACUUGUCCCUGUAACCGCAGGCCUGCAGAGUUCAGUGCACAUCCCUGAGAUCUCACUCUGGCCAGCCAUAAGCACGCAGGCCUUUCUUGGAAUUUUGCCAAGCUUGAGCACCUGUGCACUGCUCUGCUGUUCUCUCCUCUUUGGUGCCCUGUUGUUGCCAGGGAGCUGAUGGGAUAUGAGGCUGGAGUCCCCUAAAGCUUCAGCUGCUGCCUCUCCCCUGGUUCAUCAAGGAGUCUAGUUGAGAGAAAGGAGCCAGUAGCGGUAGUGAGCUGUGCACCCCCAUACAGCUGCUGGCUUAUACAGAUGACUGGUCGUCAGAGACGGAGCCAUCAUCAGGGUAGACGACCCACGUAGCAUCCCAGGUUAGUUCCCAGCCCUGAGAAAAUACUCAUCCACUUUCACAGUAUUUUACCUAAAACCUAGCAUCACUUUUUUCCUAAACUCAGUGCCUACUUAUAUUUAUUUACAGGCUUCCACUUUGCACAGCAAUCAAGUGGUUACACCAUGUAGGGCCUUAGGAAGCUUAUUCUCCCAGAUUGUGUGCUGGUG